AUCCAACUGGAUUGGGAAAGCAUUAGUUGCAUUAUAUCAUAAAAAAAUUGUUGGAAUUGGCAUCUACGAGGGCCAGUUUGGUUGCUGGUAAUUGAACUCUGGUAGAUGGAGUUGUGUGGAGCUGGAAGAACAGCAACUCCAGUUACAUCCAAGUGUCUCUGAUAAAUGCCACCGUCUGCUUUGAGCUGCCAUCGCUCAGACUAUAAUUACACUACAUGCUGAUGUUACAUUGUACAAAGCAACAGGAAAACCAGAAAACUGCCAAUCAAUGUUUCCGACUUGUAGGUCAUUCAGUUACAUGCAACCAAACACAUGCUAAUUUAUGUCCUGAUUAUGUUCAAGCAGUAAAUCAGUUGCAGGUCAAGUACAAGAAAGCAUUUACCCUGAGACUAGGCCAAACAUGGGCCAUCAAAAAUUUCUGAAGGAUGGACAAAUGUUGUUUGUUUUGACACUUAUGAUAAGAAGAAUCAUAUUGAUGAGGAGGCACGUAAGAUAUUCUUUUCUUGGAUUAAUUCCUGCUCAUAAGGAAAUACAGUAGCUCAAUGGCUAUCAUUUAUUUAUCCAAAAUAAAGAGAUUGUGUUUCAAAAGUCCAAUAAUCAACCAAAAAGCAGAACAGCAUCAGAAUCAAAAGUAUGCAAUGUUCUGCUAUUUGAUUUGCUCAUGUACAAAUAAAAGGAAAAAGAAAAAGGAAUAUAUCGCUGUUUAUAUUUAC